rnacentral:lncRNA from 1 species
CCGUUAAAUUGCAACAUGUCCAGCACGAGCGGAAGUCAGUCUGAGUUUCAGGAGCCUGCUAUGGAUGUGGAUAACCAAUAUUUGAGGAAUAGAUGCCUAUUCAACCCGAAAGCAGUCGAUAGGCAAAAUACGGAAUUAUUUAUUUAAGAUGAGUAUUUAAAUAUUUCUAUUGGUAGUCAAUCGAGUGCACACUUACUCACACCCGACUAGUUUCAUUUUGAAUAUGAACAAGGUCAGUCUAAAAUUAUCGCCAGAGAUAGAGUAUAGAGACAUAUUGAUUUUUGGUAUACCAUUGGAUGUCAUGAUUUCAUUACCGAUACCAUUUUACACGCUUAUAAAAAUACAUUUUUAUACUACACGGCUGUCCGUUUGUUUACAAAACAAUUGUGCUGCCAUUACAUACCGUGAUUUGGUUUUAGAAGCUAUUGAAGAUUUUUGGUUUAGAGGACUUAUUAUUGAAUGUACUGAUGCUAAAGCAUUGGUUUGCAAAUUCACUUCCUACCUGUUCAAAACAAUGGUAAUGAAAGUUUAAUUUUAGAUAUAGGUCAAUAGGUCAUAACAAUUUACCUCUAUGGAAAACACCUUUGUGAAAUUUGAAGAUAUCAUGGUAGCUAUGCAAUCUAAUAAACAGAUUUGUAUUGUUUUAAGUUUGACAUUCAGCUUAUCACCAUAUAUAUAGGCAUAUACGAUCUGCAUUCUGAUGAUCUUGGUUUUUACUGGACAUAUUACAAGGUAUAAUAGUUGAGACUACAAAUCCUUGGAUGAAAGUUCAUAUAUAUUUUUAUUCUCGUUCCCCCUUUUUUGGAUAAAGUUCUGCUUAUUUUAUAUUUACUAAAGUUACUUGACCACUAAUUAAAUUGAGGUGGAUGAAAAGAAAUUUUCAUGUAUAUAGAUUAUGGAUUUGACACCGAUUCUGAUAUUAGCGUGUGUACAGAUAUUGCCACCUGAGUUAAGCAGGACCUUGUUGACCAAAGUGGUUGUGUCCAUAUGGUCUCCCAGUUAUACAUUAAUAUAUUUGGUUAUUUCAUUGAUACAGGCAAAGCUAUCAUAAGCAUACCAGUUGAGACUGUCAUAACUGUUUGAUACCAUAAAACAAGUAAUACUAUCUUCAGAAUAUUUAGGUUGAUUUUAUGGGAGAACUGUAACUGUUGGUCAGAUUAUAUCCAUGUCGUUUAUACAUGUAUGUCAUAGGAAUGUGGCUUAUAUUAUGAUUGAAUCAUUAGUAUUGAUGUUAAGUCAGCCUAUUCUUCUAAUGUAAUAUUGGACUUUCAGUUCAAAGUAAAGAGCAGCUUAUACUCUGCCUAGAAAAUCUUAAAUGUGUUAAUCUUAACAUUUUGUAUCCAAUUUUUCGUGUCACGACUAUGUUUAAAGUGAUACCAGUGGAACUGGAUAUAGUAGAUGUUCAGUAGAAAAUCCUAAGAAUAUUGCUCAUGGCAUGUGUCAUGAAUACGAUGUACGCCAUAGUUCUACUUGGAAAGAACUUACGGCUGUUAAAUGUAUAUUGCUUCCUUGACAGAUUUUAUGAGAGAUAAACGCAUUAAUGGUUUAUGGAUAACCAAAACGUCGUUUCCAUUGUUCAUAUAUAUAUAUAUAUAUAUAUACAUAAGGGCAUUAUGAAGCCUUAUUUACAAGAUUUUGCAUAUAUGCUAUUUUUUGUGACUUGUUUGAAGCACACUUGUUCUAAGAGGUUGAAUGGAUACCUAGGGCA